CCUACGGGAGGCAGCAGUGAGGAAUAUUGGUCAAUGGGCGGAAGCCUGAACCAGCCAAGUAGCGUGCGGGAUGAAGGCCCUACGGGUCGUAAACCGCUUUUGCACGGGGAUAACACCCUCCACUUGUGGAGUUCUGCAGGUACCGUGCGAAUAAGGGCCGGCUAAUUCCGUGCCAGCAGCCGCGGUAAUACGGAAGGCCCGAGCGUUAUCCGGUUUCAUUGGGCUUAAAGGGAGCGUAGGCGGGCGUUCAAGUCAGCUGUAAAAUCGCGCGGCUCAACCGCGCCCCGAAGUUAAAACUGGACGACUUAAGUUCACAACGGGCAGGCGAAAUUGGUGGUGUAGCGGUGAAAUGC
rnacentral:rRNA from 1 species